UACGAAGGGGGCUAGCGUUGCUCGGAAUCACUGGGCGUAAAGCGCACGUAGGCGGAUCUUUAAGUCAGGGGUGAAAUCCUGGAGCUCAACUCCAGAACUGCCUUUGAUACUGAGGAUCUUGAGUCCGGGAGAGGUGAGUGGAACUCCGAGUGUAGAGGUGAAAUUCGUAGAUAUUCGGAAGAACACCAGUGGCGAAGGCGGUCUGCUGGGCAGUAGCUGACACUGAGGCGCGACAGCGUGGGGAGCAAACAGG
rnacentral:rRNA from 1 species